rnacentral:lncRNA from 1 species
CCCUUCAUAUGGAUAAAUUAUAAAUUCUAAUUCGAUAUCAUUUUAUUCCAUAUCAAGUUCCAGUUUAUUGCCAGCCUCCUUGUUGGAUCUUAGGAUCAGCCUUAUGAAGAGAUUAUUUGCCACCGGUGGAUUGUGUCGACUUAAUUUUGUAAGACAGAAGAGAAUGAUAGCUAGCACCAACCCCUCCUCAAAAAAGGUUUCUCC